AUUGAAUUAGUUUGUUAGAAUUGGUCAGUUUAUUAGAAAGGAGGCCUUGGUGAGUGAUUCUUGAUUCCGUGUUUGAGAUAUUUGGGUAGUAAGAUCAAGGGUAUGGCUGUGCUGUUUCAGGGCUGCUCUGGAAGUCAGUUAGGAAUCCUGCAACAGAAAUCCUACACUCAGUUAAGUUACCAGACAGUUGAUGGCAUUGGAGUAUCUGGAUUGGAAGAAAGAAGCUGCGCUGCGGGCUGUAGUUACUGUGAAAUGUAGGAAGGGAUUUAAACAAUGAAUAUAUAAUAGUAAUUUUUUUAAAGGUAGUCUGUAUUUUGUUCAUAUUUAGAGAGUGAAAAAUAAAAAUAACACAAAUUAGCUGUUUCUAGGAAAUAGUAUCUAAUUUUAGGAAGCCUAUCUUUUCUUUUUUUUUUUUUUUAAUUCUAGGGAAUUUGUGAAUGAGGCAUGUAUGGAAGAGAAAUUUUAUUUAGCCAUCUUCAAGCAGGGUUUCUCAACAUCAGUACCACUGAUAUUUAGAGCAAGACCAUUCUUUGUUAUGAGGCCGUGUUCUGCUAGUCAUAGGCUCUCUAGCAUCCUUGGUUCUAUACUAUACUUGGUUCUGAUUGCAGCUCUCUCUUUCUCUAGUUGUAACAGUCAGAAAUAUUUUCAGACACUGCCAGGUAUUCCUGGGAGCAAAAUCAUUUACUGUAGAAAACCACUGGUUUAGAUGAAAGAGAGAAGAGUAGGUGACUAUAGAGUGUAAGAGAGAAAAGCAGGUGGCUUGUGAAAUGAGCUGACACAUAAUUACCUUUCAGAAAUGGUGUUUAUUGGGAGAGAGCAUUGUAACCACAGGAGCCAUGUAAGGUUGGAAAACAUUCAAAAGUAAAAACACAGUAUAUCAGAAACAGCAUAAUAGGGCCUUAAAGGAAAAGAAAGACUUCCCUUUAAAAUCUGGAGAGGAGCUUCAUUAAGGAAGGAUAGCUUAAAAGUAGGAGUAAGAGAAAUAGCUUCCAUGAUGUGAUAAAGGGGGAAACUUAGAUAAAAGAACCUUCAGAGAAAUAUCCCAACAAAAGAAAAUCUGUGGUUUUUAUAUCUUUUAAUGGGGCAGCAGGAAGUUUUAUACUAUAUGAUUUAGUUCAGCAUAGCAUAUAUGUGUGUGGGGUGUCAACAAAGACAGUAGAAGGAAUAUGAAACUAUGUCAGGGGUGGUAAAUUAAGUAUAGUUUGUAGAAAGAAGAGAAGUGGAAAUCUUGGGUAUCUGAGUUCAGUUUAAUGGCCUGAUUGCCAGGGAAAAUUCAUGUGGCCAUGUGUUUCUGUGAUGAUUAUGUGUGUCUUUGUUCAGGGGAGAUCUCUAUCUCUCCAUACUUCCCCUAUGAACAUUGAACUUUCCUAAGAAAUCAUUAUGCUGGUAGAGUACUCUUUCUUUCCUAUAUGAUGCAUUGAAUUUUUCUCAUGAUAAAGCCUAAAGCUGAUAAGUAAGUGGGGUUUAGAAAGCAUUGGGAAAGUUAUUACUAUUGUUUUGUUUUUUUUUUUUUUUCUAAGCAGAACUUUCAGUGUUUAGAGAAGAUCGAUAGGAUGGAAUGGAUAGCAAUGCCUGUAUUUUAUACACUUACUGAAAGUUAUAAAAUAUGUUACAAAAUUCUAAAUAUCAAGUUUAUAAUACUUACCGGAAAGAAUUUCCUCAGGCGUACUACUUAUUUGUUUGGUCUCCUGAGUAGACAGUACUAUGGGUAGAUCCUGGUAUAAAUACAGGAUCACAGAGUAGUCUUCAUCCUGUCUACACAAGAGAGCAACCCCAGCACAUGAGUGGCUAGAGGUAGAUUUCUGUUGUCAGUCAUAUUGAUCCUGUUAUCUGCAAUAUCAAACAUUUGGUAGUUCUAGAAGUCCUCCAAGGGAGGAGACUGUUUUUUUCCCUUUCACUCUCUUCUUUCCCUUCCUUCCUACAUUGUACUCCCUACUUGCUCCAUGCUUCUUUGUACCUCUCCCUGAUCACUGGAAAUCUAGAUUUCUUGCUUUUUCAGUACUAUGUAACAGUUUAUUAAUUUUACUCUUUCUCCAUAGACCAAUAGUAAGAGUUACAAAGUAUUAUUUAUUUGAUGUAACAAAUUGUACUCAUAAAAUACUGACAGCUCAUGACUCUGAUCAUCAGUUAAUAGUGAUUUCUCCCAGUGCUUAACUUUGAGGUAUUGCUUUCAGUGUGCUUUUUACAGUUUAAGAUGGUCUUCAUCCAAAACACUAGGAUGCUGAAAUGCCUACAUUUGUGUCUCACUGCUAAUCCAUUGCUUUUAGUCACUUGUCAUUCACCUUGCUUCUGUUAGCUGGCAAACCAUUCUCUGGUUUUUCAGUUUCAUUCAUUCUAAUUCCAUUGCAUUUUUCUAUAGUGUUUUCUGUAGUUUAAAAACUAGUUGAUGCUGUUUUUAAUGUACUGUAUUGUUUCAUCCUCGUAACAGUUGUGUGUGUGUGUUUGUGUGUGUGGUCUAAAGUAAUAUAACUUUCAUAGAUUAAUUUAGUUAUUCAAGGCUGUAUGGCCAGGAAAGAAUCAGUCUAUUUUAUAAUCUAGUUUUAUUUUCAUUAGAUUAUCUUUCUGUAACUAAUUUUUUUUUAAAUGUUUAGGUAAGGCUUUCAAAUUGAAAUUCUUUAGGAGAGACAAAGUCCUCUUUUUCUAUCUUUUCCAUAGAAUCUGAAAGUUAGAUGUCACUAAUGUUGAAAUCUUCUUCUUUUUUCUUCUUUUCUGCUCAUAG
rnacentral:lncRNA from 1 species